rnacentral:rRNA from 1 species
GACGAACGCUGGCGGCGUGCUUAACACAUGCAAGUCGAACGGAAAGGCCUCUUUCGUGGGGUACUCGAGUGGCGAACGGGUGAGUAACACGUGAGUAACCUGCCCUUGACAAUGGGAUCAUUUGAGGAAACUGGCGCUAAUACCGAAUAGGUACUCCUGCUGCAUUGCGUGUGUUGGAAGGUUUCUGCGGUAGGGGAUGGACUCGCGGCUUAUCGGCUUGUCGGUGGGGUAGUGGCUUACCAAGGCUUUGACCGGUAGCCGGCCUGGGAGGGGCACCGGCCACAUGAGGACUGAGAUACGGCGCAGACUCCUACGGGAGGCAGCAGUGGGGAGUAUUGCACAAUGGGUGGGAGCCAGAUGCAGCAACGCCGUGUGCGGGAUGACGGCCUUCGGGUUGUGAACCGCUUUCGCUCAUGACGAAGCUUUGUGUGACGGUAGUGAGUAAAGAAGCACCGGCUAACUACGUG